UACGGAGGGUGCAAACGUUGCUCGGAAUCAUUGGGCGUAAAGCGCACGUAGGCGGCUCGUUAAGUCGGAUGUGAAAGCCCUCGGCUCAACCGAGGAAGUGCAUACGAAACUGGCGAGCUUGAAUAUGGAAGAGGGUCGCGGAAUUCCCGGUGUAGAGGUGAAAUUCGUAGAUAUCCAUAGGAACUCCGGUGGCGAAAGCGGUGUGCUGGAUCCUUUCUGACGCUGAGGCGCGAAAGCCAGGGGAGCAAACGGG
rnacentral:rRNA from 1 species